UACGUAGGGCGCAAGCGUUGUCCGGAAUUAUUGGGCGUAAAGAGCUCGUAGGCGGUUUGUCGCGUCUGCUGUGAAAACCUAAGGCUCAACCUUGGGCUUGCAGUGGGUACGGGCAGACUAGAGUGCGGUAGGGGGUGACUGGAAUUCCUGGUGUAGCGGUGGAAUGCGCAGAUAUCAGGAGGAACACCGAUGGCGAAGGCAGGUCACUGGGCCGCAACUGACGCUGAGGAGCGAAAGCAUGGGGAGCGAACAGG
rnacentral:rRNA from 1 species